GUCCCUCUACAAAAGCCAUCAUUAUAUGACUUUGUUUUACCAAAGAAGAGGUCAGCUGCUAGUAAUAGAACUUGCUCUUGAACAAACAAGCACUCAAACAACUAUUAGGAGAUUGUUAAGUAACAUUCCUGAAGAAAGAGGCUGGUCAAUCUUGGACCGUCGAGCUUCAAAAUUUCCAAAGAAUAAGAAUUGCUGAGCAAUAAAACAGAAUAUGAGAUGAAGGUAACAAUGUCUUAGAAUAAAAAAAAUAACACAAAAAUUAAGUUGGACAAAAUAAAACUCAACAUUUAAAGUAAAGCAAAUAUAAAUCAUUGAAAUCAGUUUAGGUAUCAAUCACCCAAACCCUGAAAUUCAAUCUUACUGGCCUGAAAUUGGUUUUUACUGACCUCCUCAAGAUGUUCUCUUGUUAGUUUCUACUAUGUACAGAGUCCGGUCAGUGGUGGUUGCAAGAGGCGAGAGACAGAGAUGUGGAGAAUGAAGAGAUGAAGUUGUGGUGGAUGUGAGAGGCGAGAGGCAGAGGCACGAAAUUGAGGAGUGGAGAAUGGAGAGGCGAAGUUGUGGUGGUGGAAUUCGGCGAGAGAUAGAGGUGAGACUAAGGCGUGGAGAAUGGAGAGGCGAAGUUGUGGUGGUUGAAUUCGGCGAGAGAUAGAGGUGAGACUGAGGUGUGGAGAAUGGAGAGGCGAAGAUGUAAUGCCUGCAACAUUUUU
rnacentral:lncRNA from 1 species